CACCAGACUUGGCGGGCGGCCUCCGUGUGCCAAAAAUAGGCCACGGGCACAGCUGCGCCCAAAAACCAGCCCCCGAAGGUCGGGGUCCCAAGACCCCCCAGCGGAAAAAUGGCCAAAAAACGGGUGGGCUAUAGCCUUGGUGGGUGGCGUGGGCGUAGUUCGUCCGCGGGACUCGGAAUGGCCCCAGACUUGGCGGGCGGCCUCCGUGUGCCAAAAAUAGGCCACGGGCACAGCCGCGCCCAAAAACCAGCUCCCGAAGGUCGGGGUCCCAAGACCCCCCAGCGGAAAAAUGGCCAAAAAACGGGUGGGCUAUAGCCUUGGUGGGGGGCGUGGGCGAAGUUCGUCCGCGGGACUCGGAAUGGCACCAGACUUGGCGGGCGGCCUCCUGUGCCUAAAAUAUAGGCCACGGGCACAGCCGCGCCCAAAAAACAGCCCCCGAAGGUCGGGGUCCCAAGACCCCCCAGCGGAAAAAUGGCCAAAAAACGGGUGGGCUAUAGCCUUGGUGAGGGGCGUGGGCGAAGUUCGUCCGCGGGACUCGGAAUGGCACCAGACUUGGCGGGCGGCCUCCGUGUGCCAAAAAUAGGCCACGGGCACAGCCGCGCCAAAAAGCAGCCCCCGAAGGUCGGGGUCCCAAGACCCCCCAGCGGAAAAAUGGCCAAAAAUCGGGUGGGCUAUAGCCUUGGUGGGGGGUGUGGGCGAAGUUCGUCCGCGGAACUCGGAAUGGCACCAGACUUGGCGGGCGGCCUCAGUGUGCCAAAAAUAGGCCACGGGCACAGCCGCGCCCAAAAACAAGCCCCC
rnacentral:lncRNA from 1 species